CACACACGUAUAGAGAGGGAGAGAGAAAUCCUCCUUUUCUCUCUCUAGAUAUCUCCCUACUCUCUGUCUCUUUUUCCCACAUUCGGAGCUUGGCAGAAAGCGGGCUUGGAAACGCGUGUGGGGCGACGGAUCGAGCCUUCAUGCGCCCGGUUGAGCGGCGUCUUUUCAACUCGGCGUUCGCAAUUUGGUGAGAGAGGAACCCUUGAAGACCCUAGGUUGCGGAUCAGCGUGCGGUUGGUGGUUGGUAGCAAGCUCGGGUCGAACCGGACAACAAGUGCCGCGGGAAGCCGAUUGCAAGUGUCGACAAGUAAUCGGAGAACGUUAUAAGGUUCACACCUGAGAGGCGCGGUGGCGCGAGGAAAGGGCG